AUUUAAUUCAACUCUUCAUUUAUAAUUUAGUAAGUUCGUGUAUUCAAGACAAUCGACAAUCCAUUUUUAUUUAAUAUUCUUUUUCAAAAUAUGUUAAACCUAUGUUUAACUAAUGCCUUAACUUUUAAAAAAGAAAAAGAAAGAAAAGUCAAAAUCUAAAAUUGAAGUCAAAUGUAUCAAGCUUUAAAAAAAAAAAGAAAAAAAAAAUUAUUGUAACCAAACAAAAGUGGACAAAGUCAGCCGGUGGUUGAUUAUAUUAAUCCAAAUCCAUUUCAUUUUCAUAUCAAUCCACUUAUAUACAAUCCAUUUACACACAAAACAUAUAUACAGACAGAGAGGAAACGAGAAAGAGAAAAAGAUAAGGAAAAGAAAAAAGGGAGAAGAAAAUAUUCAUCAGCAAUUAAAGAAAUGGAAAUAGAAAAAGGAAGAGAUAGAUAGCCGUGCCAAUCUUCAUCUGGGAGAUACUUCAUUUACUUGCUGUAAAUUUAUUCACUUUGUUAGCAGCAAUACAAGGUAAGAAGGAGAUAUUAAAUUCAAGAACAUAUUAGGGAUUAUAUGUGAAUAUAUCGGUACACCAGGAAAUUGAGAAGGGAAAUGAGAUAAAUGGAUAAGGUGUGGAAAAAUGAUUUAAAGGAAUUGAAGAAAAAAGGAGAACACAGACUAAAAAUUAUUGUGAUCUUGUUGUAUGUUUUUGUAACCUAUGAAAAAGAAAAAGGGAGAAGUUAGUCGAAGUGGAUACACGUAUAAGGAGAAAGAAAUGUAUGAAUCUGGGUAUGUUCACACUUCAAUUUCAGUUUUAAGUUGGGAGAAUUUUGGGACAACUAUUACUCGUGUAUAAAUAUACAGUCGGGAAAUGAUCGAUAUAUGAAGAGCAGCCAAAAUAGGGAAUAACUAAUUGAGUUAAUUAAGUAGAUUGCGUAACCGUCCAAGGUUGAGGAGAAGCGAAUUGAAAGAAAGAUAUGGAUUGUUGAAUUUUGAAUAAUCUAUGGCAGCUCUAAUACGUUAAAGAUGGAAAUGGGAAUACAUUGAAAAAAAUAGUGGAUAUUUUAAAUCAGUCAACAUAAUAACUAGAAAUGGAGACCUUUGGCUGUGCAAUAUUAAUGAUGAAUCGAGUUAAUUGGUUUUUAUGUGGAAUAUAAUCUUGUUUUCCA
rnacentral:lncRNA from 1 species